CAGAGGUCCCAAGCGUUGUUCGGAUUCACUGGGCGUAAAGGGUGCGUAGGCGGUCGGGUAAGUCUGACGUGAAAUCUUCAAGCUCAACUUGGAAACUGCGUCGGAUACUAUUCGGCUGGAGGAAUGGAGGGGAGACUGGAAUACUUGGUGUAGCAGUGAAAUGCGUAGAUAUCAAGUGGAACACCAGUGGCGAAGGCGAGUCUCUGGACAUUUCCUGACGCUGAGGCACGAAAGCCAGGGGAGCAAACGGGAUUAGAUACCCCGGUAGUCCUGGCCCUAAACCGGUGCACGUUUGCUGUAAGAGGGGAUCGACCCCUUUUGUGGCGAAGCUAACGCGUUAAACGUGCCGCCUGGGAAGUACGGCCGCAAGGUUA
rnacentral:rRNA from 1 species